UAUCCUCUAGGUUCCAAGCCUA
rnacentral:siRNA from 1 species